rnacentral:rRNA from 1 species
GAUGAACGCUAGCUACAGGCUUAACACAUGCAAGUCGAGCGGUAAGGUCCUUCGGGACCCCAGAGCGGCGGACGGGUGAGUAACACGUGGAUAAUCUGCCUUCCAGUCCGGGAUAGCACAUGGAAACAUGUGAUAAUACCGGAUACGAUGUGCCUGCCACAUGGCGGGUGCAGGAAAGGUCCUGCGGGAUCGCUGGGAGAUGAGUCCGCGGCCCAUUAGCUAGUUGGUGGGGUAAAGGCCCACCAAGGCGACGAUGGGUAGCCGGCCUGAGAGGGUGGACGGCCACAUUGGGACUGAGACACGGGCCCAGACUCCUACGGGAGGCAGCAGCUAAGAAUCUUCCACAAUGGGACGAAAGUCUGAUGGAGCGACGCCGCGUGAACGAUGAA